rnacentral:rRNA from 1 species
AGAGCGAACGCUGGCGGCAGGCCUAACACAUGCAAGUCGAGCGCCCGUAGCAAUACGGGAGCGGCAGACGGGAUAGUAACACGUGGGAACGCGCCCUUCGGUUCGGAAUAACUCAGGGAAACUUGAGCUAAUACCGGAUACGCCCUUACGGGGAAAGAUUUAUUGCCGAAGGAACGGCCCGCGUCCGAUUAGCUAGUUGGUGAGGUAAUGGCUCACCAAGGCGACGAUCGGUAGCUGGUCUGAGAGGAUGACCAGCAUCACUGGGACUGAGACACGGCCCAGACUCCUACGGGAGGCAGCAGUGGGGAAUAUUGGACAAUGGGCGCAAGCCUGAUCCAGCCAUGCCGCGUGGAUGAUGAAGGCCUUAGGGUUGUAAAGGUCCUUUUAACGGGGGAAGUAUAAUGACGGUACCCGUAGAAUAAGCCCCGGCUAACUUCGUGCCAGCAGCCGC